rnacentral:lncRNA from 1 species
UAUAAACGAAAUGCAACAGUAGAAAUGAACAUUCAUGACCAGACAAAAGAUAGACAACUCAGCCCACCAAACUAAACAGUUCAACUACCAUGAAAGAUUAGAAUGUAAUAAUCCCCUAGACUUGAUCCUCCUUGUUUAACAUCAUUAUUAAGCAGUGGUUCCUUUAUUUAAAAGUGUGGUGGAUGUGCUGCUACAUCCCUUCUUUCCCAAAGCAAAGAUCAGGUGCCUGCAUCAGACAAUGCAAGAGUGAGAUGACACAUCUCAGCAAGUAAAAAAACAAACAACAGUUGGACAAUGUAAGCCAACCGUGCAUAAGCAACCACAUGGUUUCCAACUUCUUUCUUAAAUAUUAAUUUACAGCAAGUAAGCAAGUAAUCAAUUACUCAAUGCCAAGAUGAAUUACAAAGUAAAGAUCCACAUUAUCCACAUCACCAUAAUAGGUUCCACACUUCUCUCAUGAAUGCACAUGGCUACAGAUGCAGUAUGACUUCUGCCUUCAUACCUCUAAGGAUAUGAAGCUGCAUCAUACCCCUUCUCGAGCAACAUAUGAUGCUCACUGUACUGGUACGGUCGGACCAUAAGAUCGCGACGAAACUUCAAUGCAAUGGAUGAUGAAUGCAUUAUGCAUGUCAACAACAUGAGUUCUUCCCAAAUAAAAUGUGCUAGACAUAUACUUCCACCCGUUUCACAUAAUAAACCACAUGGGUAACAUGAUCAAACCACACCCUCCACAUGUAUAAUCAAUAAAACAUGAAUAAUUUCAAACAACGGUACCCAAUUAGGAAUAUGAAUACGAACACAAAUAGCACAAACAUAAUCAAGUAUAAGACUCUUCAAUCAACAGAUGGAAUAACCAUCACUGUUUUACUUGCCUUCACCGGAAGUUUGGGCAAAUCCCUAAGUACGAUCCGGAAGUCCACCGCCUGUUUUUGACACACAACUUAGUGCACCAAUUUCACACAAUCAGGCUCAUAAACGACGUCGCACCUACGCACAAUCUCAAACCCCGCCGCGGGUAACAUCUCUCCCCACACCCACCAAACUGCAGCGACGCUACUUAAUAAUUUCAUAACUUUAAAAUUAUGACAGCAGUGGUAACAAACAAAAACUCCAGAGGCAUCUACAUAAAAUUCCCCACAAGUUUUGUAUACAAUUUAUAAUUAAAUUCCAAUAUCUAAUUAGCCCAAAAUAGUCCACAAGAUAAACCCUGUAAUCUAUUUUUUUUUCUCUUUUGUACAGCGACAUACCCGGAUUCAAACAGCGGUAUCUUUUACAAUAUAAUUCCAAAUCAAGCGCAUAAGUACUCAUUGGAAAGAUAAGACAAAGCCCUACAUGAUUAUCAUACUUGUUAUCACUAAUUACCUACGAAAAAUUCUCAGAAACUGCUAAUACUACUGCUGUUCACCCACCUGAAAAAUCUGUUUUUUGGACAGCAACAUACCCGGAUUCAAACAACGAUAUCUCCUAAAUUAUAACUCCGAAUCGAGCGCAUAAGUACUAGUUGGAAAGGUAUGACAAAGCUCUAUAUAAUUAUCCCACUUAUUCCCACUAAUUAACCCACGAAAAUUCCCAGAAAUCCCUAGAACUACUGUUGUCCACCCACUCACAAAAUUCCUGGACAGCAUCUCUACCGAUUCGCAAAGAUAAACGCAUAAUCCAAUUGAUUGCAGCACAAAAACAACAAAAGUUAAACAUGAAUUCACCUUGGGUUCUUCCCUUCCUCCUUCCUUCUUCCUCCCUCCAAACUCCAAUUGAGAUCGCAGCCACACGACGGAGAACCACGCGGGAGGGCUGCACCUUGGAGAGGGGGAAGAGAAAUGGGGGGCGGCUAGGGUUUUGGGUGGUGAGGGCUGCAAAGGUUUGAGGAGGAAGAUGGGAGAGGGGGGAAGGGGUGGCGUCCAAGAGAAAGGGGAGGGGAAGGGGCGGCUGCAAAAAUCCCAAGGAGAAAGGGGGGCGGCUAGGGUUAGGGGAGACUAUUGGGCCGGAUCAAGGUUCAAGGCCCAACUCGCUCAUGUGACAGCUGCCAACCCCAUCGCAAACAACUAACCAAAGAAAUUCUACUGUUUUACAGGUGAAUGUUUUCCAUAAAUUCCAAAUUUCCAAAGCGCAUCACCCAAAUGAGGAAAAAGAACAAAAAGAAUAACCUCCACUUCUCCUCUUUGCAAACCGGGUAUCACACUAAAGGACUCCGAUCAAACACCUGUGUCCGGUCGAGAAAACCGGUCGCCGGCGGCCCACUCCAGUGGUAGCAAGUGCUCAAGCAUCAUCCCUGAGCUAAGGCGACUUCAACCCAUGCACUAAUUUGACCACUACACCUUAGGGAUCACCCUGACCAUGGUGAUGGGGGAACUAGGACUCCAGCGAGCCUGCUCCUAGCAACAUAACAUGAUAGCGCUCGAUUAAACAGUCUGGGAAGGAUCAAUGACUCACCAUAGCUACGACGCUCGUGCACACUCGAUAGGAGAACAUUCGGGUUGGCCGGUCGACGAGGAGGUGGUCCGAAGCGGCAUUCACCGGUGGCGACGUGAUGUUUCU